GCCUGCAACCCGGCGUACAUGAAGCUGGAAUCGCUAGUAAUCGCAGAUCAGAAUGCUGCGGUGAAUACGUUCCCGGGUCUUGUACACACCGCCCGUCACACCAUGGGAGCCGGGAAUGCCCGAAGUCGGUGACCCAACCGUAAGGAGGGAGCCGCCGAAGGCAGGCCUGGUAACUGGGGUGAAGUCGUAACAAGGUAUC
rnacentral:rRNA from 1 species